rnacentral:rRNA from 1 species
UACGUAGGGUGCGAGCGUUAAUCGGAAUUACUGGGCGUAAAGCGUGCGCAGGCGGUUUUGUAAGCCAGAUGUGAAAUCCCCGGGCUUAACCUGGGAAUGGCAUUUGGGACUGCAAGGCUUGAGUGCGGCAGAGGAGACUAGAAUUCCUGGUGUAGCAGUGAAAUGCGUAGAUAUCAGGAGGAACACCAGCGGCGAAGGCGGUGCUCUGGGCCGGAACUGACGCUGAGGAGCGAAAGCGUGGGGAGCGAACAGG